UAUAAAUAAGUCUUGUAUUCAUUUUUUAAAAGACAGAAUUACAAUAAUAUUCAAAUUAUUAUCUUUCAAGUUGGUAUCAGAGCCUCCAAUCCAAGGGGAUCUGCUUUUGCAUUCCUCCAGGCAGCCUUCAUUGCUAUAGUUGAUACUGUUUCAGUGCCUAGUCACUGCGUAUACCACUGGUCGUCGUUCGAUGUCGUCCUCCACCGUCAGCCACCUUCCGCCAUCGUCAUUGGAACGUCUAUGAACCUUUAUGGACCCUUUCAGUAAGACAUCUAGCUCUUGUUCCCUAACCAUUGCUGGAUCUUGCCAUGGGGAGAACGAUUGGAAUUACUAAAGAGCAGGGCGGGUUAUACUACUUGUAGCAUGUGGACAAUAAAGAGUGUACCAGACAGAAGGCUCUCACUUCUAAUCAUCAGACAAGUUCAGAACCUUGCUCAUCCUCCCAAAUAUGGCUUCAGCACAGGCAUCUGGGUCAUCCUCCGUUUAGUGUCCUUAAGUCUUUAUUUCCUUUUUUGUUUACAAAAAGGUCAGUCGAGUCUUUUCAUUGUGAUGUUUGUGAGUUUGCUAAACACCAUCGAACAACUUUUCUUCCCAGUACUAAUAAAAGUUCUAAACCUUUUGAUCUUGUUCAUUCGGAUGUGUGGGGAUCUACACCUAUCAAUAAUAUUUCUAGUACAAAGUGGUUUGUUUCUUUUA